UGUGAUAUGGCUCAGUGGCACAGCAUCUGCCUGGCAAGCAGAAGGUCCUGAGUUCAAUUCCCAGUACCAAAA